CCGCCCGCCUCGGCCUGCCAAAGUGCUAGGAUUACAGGCGCGAGCAGAUGACUUGAGGUCAGGAGUUUGGGACCAGCCUGGCCAACGUGGUGAAACCCCUUCUUUAGUGAAAAUACAAAAAUUAGCUGGGUGUGGUGGUGCACGCCUGUCAUCCCAGCUACUCAGGAGGCUGAGCCAGGAGAAUCACUUGAACCCAGGAGGCAGAGGUUGCAGUGAGCCGAGAUCGUGCCUCUACACUCCAGCCUGCACAAUAGAGCAAGACUUCGUCUCAAAAAAAAAAAAAUUGAGAUUCAAGAUGGCUAAGAGUUUGGCAAUAAGUAUAUAUUAUGCAAGGAAGCACAUACCUGUUAUUGAGAAAGGGACGCUUCUUAUUCAUCUUUAUAUUAUUUUAAGAAUAAUUAAUAUCUAAUAGUACUUAUGAGCUAGGCACUGUUUUAAGCACUUUAUAUUUGAUCUCAGAAAAUUCUAUGGAGGUUCUGGGCCUUUUGAAGCUAGGCCAUAAGAAGUUUUGCAGCUUCAGUUGCAGGCUAUCUAGCACACUGGUAGCUUUGAGCUGCCAUGUAAGAAAUCCUACCACUUUGAGCUGCCAUGCUAGAGAGGUCUCAUGUAGAUAUUCUGUCUGACAACUCCAGCUAAUCCCAGCAUUCCAGUCAUCCUUACCAAGGUGCCAGACUUGUGAGUGAAGCCUUCCAGACCAGCCCAUCUGCCCACUGAAAACUCUUAAGUAACCCUUGGUAGGGUCUCAAGGCCACAUGAGAUAGAAGAAUCACCCACCUAAGGCCUACCCAAAUUUCUGCUCCAUACCUAUACAAUUGUUAAACUAUAAUAAAAUGGCUGUUGUUACAUUAACAACAACAAAACAAACAAACAAAAAACUAGGCCAGGCCCAGUAACUUAUGCCUGUAAUCCCUGUGCUUUGGGCAGCUGGAUCACUUGAGCCCAGGAAUUCAAGACUGCCUGGCCAACAUAAAAAAAAUAGUUUUUUUGUUUUUUUUUUUUUUCAGAUGGAGUCUUACUCUUAUUGCCCAGGCUGGAGUGCAAUGGUGUGGUCUUGGCUCACUGCAACCUCCGCCUCCUGGGUUCAAGCGAUUCUCCUGCCUCAGCCUCCCUAG
rnacentral:lncRNA from 10 species